rnacentral:lncRNA from 1 species
GGAAGCAGUGAAGCUCAGUUCAUUGCCUCAAUCCAAUCCUUAAGCCUGUUUUUAAGGGAACUGCACAAAUUAUAAAACAAUGCUUCAGCAAAGGUUAACAUUUGAUAAUCUGCCUUUGUUCAAGAUAUAAGUCAAAUAUAAACUGAAUUUGAGAAAGUGACAAAAACAAAUUUGUGCAUCCACAGACAUUUCCACUAAACUGUUCAAAGUCUGGAAAAGAUAUAAAACAUUAAAUUGUCAUCAAUAGAAAGUCCAGAUGAGGGUUUCCCCUGGAAGCCACACUUUUACGAAACUAUUAUGAAAUAGUUUUCUUUACAAUGCAGGAGGGAUCUUUAGCAAUCAGCUUUAUAGUAUUAAGUAUAAUGAUAGUGUGUGAAUAAGUGGAAUUUUAGUCCGUACUCCAUUUAUUUUUAUGCAAACAGUUUAGAACAUUUUAGACUGAGCAGAAUUAUUUUUUACUGACUUCAUA